GACGAACGCUGGCGGCGUGCUUAACACAUGCAAGUCGAACGGAAAGGCCCUGCAUUUGUGGGGUGCUCGAGUGGCGAACGGGUGAGUAACACGUGAGUAACCUGCCCUUGACUUUGGGAUAACUUCAGGAAACUGGGGCUAAUACCGGAUAGGAGCUCCUGCUGCAUGGUGGGGGUUGGAAAGUUUCGGCGGUUGGGGAUGGACUCGCGGCUUAUCAGCUUGUUGGUGGGGUAGUGGCUUACCAAGGCUUUGACGGGUAGCCGGCCUGAGAGGGUGACCGGCCACAUUGGGACUGAGAUACGGCCCAUACUCCUACGGGAGGCAGCAGUGGGGAAUAUUGCACAAUGGGCGGAAGCCUGAUGCAGCAACGCCGCGUGCGGGAUGACGGCCUUCGGGUUGUAAACCGCUUUCGCCUGUGACGAAGCGUGAGUGACGGUAAUGGGUAAAGAAGCACCGGCUAACUACGUG
rnacentral:rRNA from 1 species